GUGGGGAAUUUUGGACAAUGGGCGCAAGCCUGAUCCAGCAAUGCCGCGUGCAGGAAGAAGGCCUUCGGGUUGUAAACUGCUUUUGUACGGAACGAAACGGUCCUGGUUAAUACCUGGGGCUAAUGACGGUACCGUAAGAAUAAGCACCGGCUAACUACGUGCCAGCAGCCGCGGUAAUACGUAGGGUGCGAGCGUUAAUCGGAAUUACUGGGCGUAAAGCGUGCGCAGGCGGUGCUGUAAGACAGGCGUGAAAUCCCCGAGCUCAACGUGGGGAGUGCGCUUGUGACUGCAGUGCUGGAGUACGGGAGAGGGGGAUGGAAUUCCGCGUGUAGCAGUGAAAUGCGUAGAUAUGCGGAGGAACACCGAUGGCGAAGGCAGUCCCCUGGGCCUGUACUGACGCUCAUGCACGAAAGCGUGGGGAGCAAACAGGAUUAGAUACCCGUGUAGUCC
rnacentral:rRNA from 1 species